rnacentral:lncRNA from 1 species
ACUUUUGUUAAGUGUUUAUGUUUUUGAUAUAUUGAAAUGGAACAACAAAAUCGUAAUUAUAAAUGGAUGUUGUUCUGAAACUAUUUUCUUGUGGCAUUUUUAUAAUUUGACGAAUCCAUGAUGAUCCAAACAAUAAUAA